rnacentral:SRP_RNA from 1 species
GCCGGGCAUGGUGGCGCAUGCCUGUAAUCCCAGCUACUCGGGAGGCUGAGGCAGGAGAAUCACUUGAACCCAGGAGGCAGAAGUUGCAGUGAGCUGAGAUCAUGCCACUGCACUCCAGCCUGGGCAACAGAGUGACUCUGUCUCAA